GUCGACAAUACUUCAGAGAAUCAUUUCUAUAGUAUUUGUCCCACUUCUUUGUUUCCCAAAGAAGCUUCAGAUCCCACCCUGGUUGAUGACCACAAAUCCUCGCCGCCCUCGAGUGAAUACUCUUAUUUUUGUCCCUCGCUCUGUCCGUAAGGAUGGCGGAGACGGUGCGCUUCGCGCGCUGCUGUCUCUGUAUAGAGGACUGUGAUGAUCUCUAUCCCGAUCACCCAGGGUCUUGCCUUCGGGCGCCUGGGCGGGAUGGGCAGCGAUGGACGUCUGACAGGC
rnacentral:snoRNA from 1 species